rnacentral:lncRNA from 1 species
UCUGUAGCAACACAAAGUGAGGCAGCGCUUAACACUCUUACCUUGUCCAAGUUCAACACAGUGCUCUGUUAGUGUUUCAAAAUAUGAUUGAUGGUGUGGGUAUAUGGCUGGGACAGGUCAAACUGCCUUUCUGGUGAUGGGAUGGAGCAGAUUGUGUGGACUUGGAACCAUCUCUGGCAUUGCCUAUCUCACUGCAAGAGUAUGCAAAAGCUUCAAGGUGUACAAUUUGCCCAAGAAAAGGGCUAAAUACUCAUUGGCUGGUGUGUAUCCACCAUGUCUGGUAGCUAAACCAGCUUGUAAUGGGAUGUGGAUGCCUUAUAGCACAGCCACAGGUCAUGUGACAGCACCUACCCAGGUGGGAGAAGAUAGAAGGUGCCAAGAGGUGGUGGGUUCUGCAGCUGGUGUGCAGGGCCAAGAGGAGCAACGGAGAUCUGAGCCUGUAGAUGUGAUAGAUCCCAAAGGAGCCGUGCGAAGGAGCCCGUGCUGCUGGAGGACUGCACCUUGCCAAAUCGUCUUGGCAGCCGCAUCCAUGCAGCCCAUCCAAGAGGGGGUUUUCCAGAAUGUUAUGGUCACAAAUCUUCCUAACUCUCAAGUCUGAUUGCAGUGUUUAUUUAAAACACUCCUCCUUUUAGCAGCUCUGUGUAAGCUACAGCGUGAGACAACUCAUUAUAGCUUGACAGAGGGGUAUGGACAUAUGUGCGCACCAGACUCACGUAUGAACGAACCUACAAAAGGAAUGGUGAGGCAAGAAAUAGUACAUCAAAGACAAGUGGGAGAGCAAGCAACUGUCAGACAUCUCAGCCUCCACAGAAGAGGAAUGGCACUGCUGUGGUUAGUCACAACUGUAGCUGCCCCAGCCUGCAGGGAUGAAGAAUCCCCAUUCCCAUGUGGUGGAUCCAGCAGUGAGGCAGAAGAUGUGGGAGCAAAGAGAGGUACCCAGGUGACCUCAGAACAAGCCAGAAGGGUGAAGCCUUCAUUUCUUCCCUUGGCAGGAUUGAACAGGCUGUGGUACGAACUGAGCUCAUCUCUCAGCCAGGAUUGUGUCUGCUCACAGGACCCCUCAGGUGUUCUCGGAGUGGCCUUUGCCUAUAGAUCAGCAUGCAGCAGUGUGGUGGAGAUGUGUCCCUCAGUGCCAUGUUCAUGCUUUUCUUGAAAACCUCCAGGGACGGUGACUCCACCACCUCCCUGGGAAAUGCUCUUUGCAUUUACGUUGGAGAAUGGAGAUUUGCAGGACCAAUGGAUACAACCAAGUGAGGACUGAAGGCUGCUGCAGUGGCAGCCACUGUGUGCUCAGAAAGCCGGUCCCUGGACACGGCAUGGUGACAUUUCCCAUUCAAUUGCAUGGGGACACUGCCACCGGUGGGAGCUGUUGCCAUGGCAAUGUGAUAAUUGUAGCACAUCCCAAGAGAGGUCCCUCUGCAGCAUCCCAAGAUUUCCCUUCGCCUCAUGCUAACGCCAGGGCUGCUCUUGAUCCUGUCAGCAGUAGCUGCGUGCGUUGCUAAAAAGACACAGAAAUAAAGCAAAUCUACCCAAAACA